rnacentral:miRNA from 1 species
ACAGGGCUCUCCGGCGCCCCUCGU